rnacentral:rRNA from 1 species
AAAUUGAAGAGUUUGAUCAUGGCUCAGAUUGAACGCUGGCGGCAGGCCUAACACAUGCAAGUCGAGCGGUAGCACAGAGAGCUUGCUCUCGGGUGACGAGCGGCGGACGGGUGAGUAAUGUCUGGGAAACUGCCUGAUGGAGGGGGAUAACUACUGGAAACGGUAGCUAAUACCGCAUAACGUCGCAAGACCAAAGUGGGGGACCUUCGGGCCUCAUGCCAUCAGAUGUGCCCAGAUGGGAUUAGCUAGUAGGUGGGGUAACGGCUCACCUAGGCGACGAUCCCUAGCUGGUCUGAGAGGAUGACCAGCCACACUGGAACUGAGACACGGUCCAGACUCCUACGGGAGGCAGCAGUGGGGAAUAUUGCACAAUGGGCGCAAGCCUGAUGCAGCCAUGCCGCGUGUGUGAAGAAGGCCUUCGGGUUGUAAAGCACUUUCAGCGGGGAGGAAGGCGAUAAGGUUAAUAACCUUGUCGAUUGACGUUACCCGCAGAAGAAGCACCGGCUAACUCCGUGCCAGCAGCCGCGGUAAUACGGAGGGUGCAAGCGUUAAUCGGAAUUACUGGGCGUAAAGCGCACGCAGGCGGUCUGUCAAGUCGGAUGUGAAAUCCCCGGGCUCAACCUGGGAACUGCAUUCGAAACUGGCAGGCUAGAGUCUUGUAGAGGGGGGUAGAAUUCCAGGUGUAGCGGUGAAAUGCGUAGAGAUCUGGAGGAAUACCGGUGGCGAAGGCGGCCCCCUGGACAAAGACUGACGCUCAGGUGCGAAAGCGUGGGGAGCAAACAGGAUUAGAUACCCUGGUAGUCCACGCCGUAAACGAUGUCGAUUUGGAGGUUGUGCCCUUGAGGCGUGGCUUCCGGAGCUAACGCGUUAAAUCGACCGCCUGGGGAGUACGGCCGCAAGGUUAAAACUCAAAUGAAUUGACGGGGGCCCGCACAAGCGGUGGAGCAUGUGGUUUAAUUCGAUGCAACGCGAAGAACCUUACCUGGUCUUGACAUCCACAGAACUUUCCAGAGAUGGAUUGGUGCCUUCGGGAACUGUGAGACAGGUGCUGCAUGGCUGUCGUCAGCUCGUGUUGUGAAAUGUUGGGUUAAGUCCCGCAACGAGCGCAACCCUUAUCCUUUGUUGCCAGCGGUCCGGCCGGGAACUCAAAGGAGACUGCCAGUGAUAAACUGGAGGAAGGUGGGGAUGACGUCAAGUCAUCAUGGCCCUUACGACCAGGGCUACACACGUGCUACAAUGGCAUAUACAAAGAGAAGCGACCUCGCGAGAGCAAGCGGACCUCAUAAAGUAUGUCGUAGUCCGGAUUGGAGUCUGCAACUCGACUCCAUGAAGUCGGAAUCGCUAGUAAUCGUAGAUCAGAAUGCUACGGUGAAUACGUUCCCGGGCCUUGUACACACCGCCCGUCACACCAUGGGAGUGGGUUGCAAAAGAAGUAGGUAGCUUAACCUUCGGGAGGGCGCUUACCACUUUGUGAUUCAUGACUGGGGUGAAGUCGUAACAAGGUAACCGUAGGGGAACCUGCGGUUG